rnacentral:rRNA from 1 species
GUCCACGCCCUAACGAUGUCAACUGGUUGUUGGACGGCUUGCUGUUCAGUAACGAAGCUAACGCGUGAAGUUGACCGCCUGGGGAGUACGGCCGCAAGGUUGAACUCAAGGAAUUGACGGGGACCCGCACAAGCGGUGGAUGAUGUGGUUUAAUUCGAUGCAACGCGAAACCUUACCUACCCUUGACAUGUCUGGAAUUCUUCAGAGAUGUGGAAGUGCUCGAAAGAGAACCAGAACACAGGUGCUGCAUGGCCGUCGU